GUCUUUUUGAGUUAUUUUUAAAGACUGACCUGCCCACUGAAUAUUUUUAAAUGGCCGCAGUAUUCUAACUGUGCAAAGGUAGCAUAAUCAUUAGUCUUUUAAUUGAAGGCUGGUAUGAACGGUUGGACGAAGUAUAAGCUGUUUCAUAUAAAAUUAUAUUAGAAUUUUAUAUUUUAGUUAAAAAGCUAAAAUAUUAUUAAAAGACGAGAAGACCCUAUAAAUCUUUAUAUUUAAUAUUAUCCAAAUUUUUUUGAUUAAUUUUAUUUUUAUAAUAUUAAAUAUUUUGUUGGGGUGAUAUUAAAAUUUAACAAACUUUUAAUUUUGAAUUAGAACAUUAAUUUAUGAAUAGUUGAUCCAUUAUUAAUGAUUAUAAGAUUAAGUUACUUUAGGGAUAACAGCGUAAUUUUUUUUGAGAGUUCAUAUCGACAAAAAAGUUUGCGACCUCGAUGUUGGAUUAAGAUAUAUAUUUAGGUGUAGCCGUUUAAAUAUUAAGUCUGUUCGACUUUUAAAUUCUUACAUGAUCUGAGUUCAA
rnacentral:rRNA from 1 species